GAUACUAGCUUGCUAGUAGGCGUCGAGUGGCGGACGGGUGAGUAACGCGUAGGAAUCUACCUGAUAGUGGGGGGUAGCCCGAAGAAAUUCGGAUUAAUACCGCAUAAUCUAUUCGUAGUAAAGUGGGGGACUUUCGAGCCUCACGCUAUCAGAUGAGCCUGCGUAAGAUUAGCUAGUUGGCAGGGUAAAAGCCUACCAAGGCGACGAUCUUUAGCUGGUCUGAGAGGAUGAUCAGCCACAUCGGGACUGAGACACGGCCCGAACUCCUACGGGAGGCAGCAGUGGGGAAUAUUGGACAAUGGGGGCAACCCUGAUCCAGCAAUACCGCGUGUGUGAAGAAGGCCUGAGGGUUGUAAAGCACUUUCAAUUGUGAAGAAAAGCUAGUGGUUAAUAGCCAUUAGCCUUGACGUUAACUUUAGAAGAAGCACCGGCUAACUCCGUGCCAGCAGCCGCGGUAAUACGGAGGGUGCAAGCGUUAAUCGGAAUUACUGGGCGUAAAGCGUGCGUAGGCGGUUUAUUAAGUCAGAUGUGAAAGCCCCGGGCUUAACCUG
rnacentral:rRNA from 1 species